rnacentral:rRNA from 1 species
GUAGGGAAUAUUGGACAAUGGGUGCGAGCCUGAUCCAGCCAUGCCGCGUGCAGGAAGACGGCCUUCUGGGUUGUAAACUGCUUUUGCCAGGGGAUAAAAAGUCCCUGCGGGGAAAAUUGAAGGUACCUGGUGAAUAAGCCACGGCUAACUACGUGCCAGCAGCCGCGGUAAUACGUAGGUGGCAAGCGUUGUCCGGAUUUAUUGGGUUUAAAGGGUGCGUAGGUUGUGUUGUAAGUCAGUGGUGAAAUCCGGCAGCUUAACUGUCGAUGUGCCAUUGAUACUGCAGCACUUGAGUACAGACGAGGUAGGCGGAAUUGACGGUGUAGCGGUGAAAUGCUUAGAUAUCGUCAAGAACACCGAUAGCGAAGGCAGCUUACUAGACUGUAACUGACACUGAUGCACGAAAGUGUGGGGAUCAAACAGGAUUAGAAACCCGGGUAGUCC